CGUGCAUUAUUUAAGUUUAGAAAAUAAAUUUAUUUUUUAAGUAUUUUUUUUAUUAUUGAAUAUAAUGUUUUUUUUUUUAUAAAUUAUUUAUGUAAUUUAGAGUUUAGAGUUUAAAAUUUUAUAUGAUAUAUAUACGCCAUGUUAAGAAAAUUAAUGCAAAGAACUUGGUGUUUGAUUGUAACCAUCAAUUGGCGGGAAUGUGAGACGAGUUAUGAAGUUCCG
rnacentral:lncRNA from 1 species